rnacentral:sRNA from 1 species
ACGGGGAGCAGGGCCCCAUCUGGACGUUCCCCCCUACCAUCCGGCCGAGUCCACACAGCAAGCUUCACAAGGGGACGGCCCUGCACGGCUCACAGAAGCCUGCGGAGCCCGUUAAGAGGCAGCCGAGGUCCCAGUGCCUGUCCACGCUGGUCCGGCCCGUCUUCGGAGAGGUGAGGAUGGGGCUGGGGCUGGGCCUGGAGUCCCGCAAGGGACAAGGCUGUCACGCUGUUCUACGGAGAUGUCUCCCUCACAGCACCGUGGGGCGGUUUCGGCUUCUAGCUUUCCUGCAGCUGAUUAUGGCUGGGUUUUCUGAGUGGAAGGAGCAGAAUCUGCUACAGUGACUCCUUUUGUACUCCCAGACCUGCCAAGGUUCUCUGGGUUCCUAGGGUGACUUUUUUUUCUUCAGGUGCAAACACAGAUGACCCUUCUAUAGAGAAAGCAGAGAAGGUUUA